rnacentral:rRNA from 1 species
GACGAACGCUGACGGUGUGCUUUAGACAUGCAAGUCGAACGAGAAAGCCCUUCGGGGUGAGUAAAGUGGCGAACGGGUGAGUAACACGUGGGCAACCUGCCCCUCGCGGGGGGACAACCGGAGGAAACUCCGGCUAAUACCCCGUACGCUUACGGGAUCGCAUGAUCCCAUAAGGAAAGGUAGCUUCGGCCAACCGGCGAGGGAUGGGCCCGCGGUACAUUAGCUAGUUGGUGGGGUAACGGCCCACCAAGGCGACGAUGUAAGCUGGUCUGAGAGGAUGAUCAGCCACACUGGGACUGAGACACGGCCCAGACUCUACGGGAGGCAGCAGUCGGGAAUCUUGCGCAAUGGGCGAAAGCCUGACGCAGCAACACCGUGUGAGU